rnacentral:rRNA from 1 species
UAGAGUUUGAUCCUGGCUCAGAUUGAACGCUGGCGGCAGGCUUAACACAUGCAAGUCGAACGGUAACAGGAAGCAGCUUGCUGCUUUGCUGACGAGUGGCGGACGGGUGAGUAAUGUCUGGGAAACUGCCUGAUGGAGGGGGAUAACUACUGGAAACGGUAGCUAAUACCGCAUAACGUCGCAAGACCAAAGUGGGGGACCUUCGGGCCUCAUGCCAUCAGAUGUGCCCAGAUGGGAUUAGCUAGUAGGUGGGGUAAUGGCUCACCUAGGCGACGAUCCCUAGCUGGUCUGAGAGGAUGACCAGCCACACUGGAACUGAGACACGGUCCAGACUCCUACGGGAGGCAGCAGUGGGGAAUAUUGCACAAUGGGCGCAAGCCUGAUGCAGCCAUGCCGCGUGUAUGAAGAAGGCCUUCGGGUUGUAAAGUACUUUCAGCGAGGAGGAAGGCAUCAGGGUUAAUAACCCUGGUGAUUGACGUUACUCGCAGAAGAAGCAUCGGCUAACUCCGUGCCAGCAGCCGCGGUAAUACGGAGGGUGCAAGCGUUAAUCGGAAUUACUGGGCGUAAAGCGCACGCAGGCGGUCUGUUAAGUCAGAUGUGAAAUCCCCGGGCUCAACCUGGGAACUGCAUUUGAAACUGGCAGGCUUGAGUCUCGUAGAGGGGGGGUAGAAUUCCAGGUGUAGCGGUGAAAUGCGUAGAGAUCUGGAGGAAUACCGGUGGCGAA